GCGGGUAUUCCAGAGUCAAUAAC
rnacentral:miRNA from 10 species